rnacentral:ribozyme from 1 species
CCUGUCGAUUCUUUCCAACUUCUGGCUGGAGCUGGAUCCUUGUGUGGGCACACAUGAAGAGGUGGAGGCAGAGCAGACUAGAGCACUGGUACUGACCUCUGGCAGGCCCAUGAAAGCACAC